CCAGUCAGGGAUCAUAUCGUAAACAUGGUGAUGUUGUGACACUACACAGCCAAUCAGAUUUGGUUAUGGGCAUAUUAAGAAAAAGCCUACACAGAGUGAAGUACUCCUCUUUCAGCACCGAAGAGCACAUUGCAACCCCACUGCCCCCGGCUUCUGCAGAGUUCCAUCUUCCCCUGCAAGCACCAGAGCAACAAUUCUCACACAUAUUACAGGCUUGUUCCAGAUCAAAACACUGAACAUAAAGAGACGCUGUGGUGCAGCCUGUCCCAUUCCUUUCCAACAAGUUGUAAUGCUCAGAAACAAGGAACAUUAUGUACUAUUUAAUUUCUAAAAAUGAAGAGAUCCAGGCCUUGAAGAGA